rnacentral:rRNA from 1 species
UACAGAGGGGGCAAGCGUUGUCCGGAUUUACUGGGCGUACAGCGCGCGCAGGCGGUUGCGUAUGUGAGCGGUGACAUCCGCGGCUCAACCCGCGGCGGCCCGCUUACACAGCGCGACUGGAGGCAGGGAGAGGGAUGUGGAAUACCCGGUGGAGCGGUGAAAUGCGUAGAGAUCGGGUGGAACACCAGCGGCGAAGGCGGCGAUCCUGGCCCUGUACUGACGCUGAGGCGCGAUAGCGUGGGGAGCAACGGG